rnacentral:rRNA from 1 species
GACAGAGGCCUCAAGCGUUAGGCGGAAUCACUGGGCUUAAAGCGUGUGUAGGCGGAUCGUUAAGUGCCUUGUGAAAUCCCACGGCUUAACUGUGGAACGGCUGGGCAUACUGGCGGUCUUGAGCCAUCUAGGGGCGACUGGAACAAACGGUGGAGCGGUGAAAUGCGUAGAUAUCGUUUGGAACGCCAAUGGUGAAAACAGGUUGCUGGGGAUGCGCUGACGCUGAGACACGAAAGCCAGGGGAGCAAACGGG